AACGAAGGCCAAAAUACCCUAAAGGCGCCAGAUUUCCUUUGAUCUUGGAAGCUAAGCAGGGUCAGCCUUGAUUAGUACUUGAACUGGAGACUGCCAACAAAUACCAGGUGCUAUAGGCU
rnacentral:rRNA from 1 species